AACAUCUCUUCACGUGAG
rnacentral:rRNA from 1 species